rnacentral:rRNA from 1 species
UACGUAGGGUGCAAGCGUUAAUCGGAAUUACUGGGCGUAAAGGGCUCGUAGGCGGCCAACUAAGUCGGACGUGAAAUCCCCAGGCUCAACCUGGGAACUGCGUCUGAUACUGGAUGGCUUGAAUCCGGGAGAGGGAUGCAGAAUUCCAGGUGUAGCGGUGAAAUGCGUAGAUAUCUGGAGGAAUACCGGUGGCGAAGGCGGCAUCCUGGACCGGCAUUGACGCUGAGGAGCGAAAGCCAGGGGAGCAAAGCGGG